rnacentral:tRNA from 1 species
GGAUGAAUAGCUUAAUGAUAAAGCAGUCGCCUGUUAAGCGACAAGAUAAAAGUUUGAAUCUUUUUUCAUCCG